ACACAGACCAAGACCGAAAGAUCCUGCAGCUUUGCGGGGAGCUCUACGACCUGGACGCCUCUUCCCUGCAGCUCAAAGUCCUCCAAUAUCUGCAACAGGAGACCCAGGCAUCC